rnacentral:rRNA from 1 species
UACGAAGGGGGCUAGCGUUGCUCGGAAUCACUGGGCGUAAAGCGCACGUAGGCGGAUUGCUAAGUCAGGGGUGAAAUCCUGGAGCUCAACUCCAGAACUGCCUUUGAUACUGGCGACCUUGAGUCCGGGAGAGGUGAGUGGAACUGCGAGUGUAGAGGUGAAAUUCGUAGAUAUUCGCAAGAACACCAGUGGCGAAGGCGGCUCACUGGCCCGGUACUGACGCUGAGGUGCGAAAAGCGUGGG